CGGAAGAAUUGGAUUCUAGAGACGUGAAGUGCUUGCCUGGUUGUUUACCUCUAGCCACUGCUCCCGUUGGCCACAGUGGGGCAGUGACUCAGAGCUGGAACUGUGUUCCUGCCUAGUUGCCAGAUUUUGUGUGGGGGGUGGAGAGGAAGGAGAAUGAAUGAGCAGGAGCAAGUGGCUGCUGGAUUUGUAACACCUUGGGAGGCAGCUGCUCAAGAACCAAAAUUGAGAGACAGCAGGCAGGCUGGGAGUCUCCCUCCCUGUCUGACCUGAACCUAAGAUUUAAUAAGGCGGUGCAUCUGGGGAAGACACUAUCCGAACGUGGAGCCCAAAGGGAGGCCAUAACCAGCAGACCACAGCAUUCAGGCAUCCUGUGACGGGACAAUUUUCUCCGGAAAAUAGUGAAUUCAUUCUUCAAGAAGAGCCGAAUCCACAUAUGUCGAAGCAAGACAGAAACCAAAGACCGUCCAGCAUGGUCAGUGAAACAUCCACGGCUGGGACCGCCUCCACCCUGGAGGCCAAGCCUGGACCCAAGUUUUGUGAGAGAGACCCAUAAGAAGUGUUCUCCCCAAAUGACAGAUCAGGAAACUGAGGCCAAGAGGGAUAUGUCCCUUGUCCAACAGAACAGAUCAUAAAGUCCAGCAAUAAAGUCCACAGCUUUGGGAAGAGAGACCAGGCCAUUCGGAGGAACCCCAAUGUUCCCGUGGUGGUGAGGGGCUGGCUGCACAAGCAG
rnacentral:sRNA from 1 species